rnacentral:rRNA from 1 species
UGGGGAAUUUUGGACAAUGGGCGAAAGCCUGAUCCAGCAAUGCCGCGUGUGUGAAGAAGGCCUUCGGGUUGUAGAGCACUUUUGUCCGGAAAGAAAUCCUUGGCUCUAAUACAGUCGGGGGAUGACGGUACCGGAAGAAUAAGCACCGGCUAACUACGUGCCAGCAGCCGCGGUAAUACGUAGGGUGCAAGCGUUAAUCGGAAUUACUGGGCGUAAAGCGUGCGCAGGCGGUUUGCUAAGACCGAUGUGAAAUCCCCGGGCUCAACCUGGGAACUGCAUUGGUGACUGGCAGGCUAGAGUAUGGCAGAGGGGGGUAGAAUUCCACGUGUAGCAGUGAAAUGCGUAGAGAUGUGGAGGAAUACCGAUGGCGAAGGCAGCCCCCUGGGCCAAUACUGACGCUCAUGCACGAAAGCGUGGGGAGCAAAACAGGAUUAGAUACCCUGGUAGUCCACGCCCUAAACGAUGUCAACUAGUUGUUGGGGAUUCAUUUCCUUAGUAACGUAGCUAACGCGUGAAGUUGACCGCCUGGGGAGUACGGUCGCAAGAUUAAAACUCAAAGGAAUUGACGGGGUCAUAGCUGUUUCCU